AUCAUGUAUAUUUCUAUAUUGGCAACAACCCUUGUUGACAGAUGAUUCUCAUUGGAUACAGAACUGUCAUCCAUAUCGAUUCAGUUGCUAGAUCAAUUAAAGUCCUUGCCAUGCGCAAAAACUUAUAUUUGAGACAAACCUAAAAACGUCGUUGUACUAAAAAUGUGCAAUGUCACAAUACCCCUCUCCCUGCUGUAGCGUUUUACCAAGGGUAAAACGCUCGCUGUCCUCAGCGACUACCUAACCAUGUGUCACAAAAGCAAGGAAAACAAAAACAACACACCUCGACCAUACAGAGUAUGGGAGAAACACACAAAAGAAAACCCAGUGAUUGCCGCAGGUAUCGAGAUAAUUUCCAAGAAAUCAAUAAACCAAAAAAAUUCACAAAACCAAAAAUAAUCUAAAUGUCCAAAAUAUUCUCGAACCCGCGCAACACUACAAAAUAAACUAGUGUGGUUCCCGAACCAUAAAAAAAAAUAUAACCCACACUACAAAACCAACCAAACAGAAAACAUUCCUUUGGCUUUACCAACACAACUUUUUAGUUGCGCUGGAAAAACCAAAACCAACAGCCAGGACCGAUGUUCAGCACACCUAAACAUUCUCCGCUAGACCGGGCAAAAUAAAAAUCCAAAAAUGAUUCCUACUUCCAAGUUUACUAUCAUAAACUUGAGAAGCUCAUAAUUUAAUUUAAAAUAAAAUUCCAAUCCGAGAAUAUAAAUCCAUAAUCCAAAAUCAAAAUUCCCUGACGGUUCACCAACAAAAAAAACCAUUCCUCCUAACACACGGUUGAAUUGGCAACAUUGUGCUGUUCCAACUCUUCCGUAAACAAACCAAAACAACAUAACAAACCGUCACGGGGGCCUUCGAGUUGGUGGAACAAAAGACUCCCACCCAACUCUCCGGAUCACAAAAUCCUACACAACUCUGAGGUUGCAACAUGCCCGAGACCUCCGCCGUUUGGUUGAGACUCACCAAAAAAUAUGUAUCGCACGCCAGGCAUGAUUGGCGGCGAUACCCCAAAAACCCGUGCGCCACCCCACCGCCUCCAUGGCAUGGGAAAAGCAGCACGGAACACAAAAUGUACCCACCAGCGAGUACCCGAUCGACACCACAAAAGGCAAGAACCCGGUACGGAGCGCAUCCAAAAGGGGAUGCAAGAAGUAGGCAGUGCGACCGCGCCCUGCCAUACCUCACCACUCCUGGGUAUGGACCUCAUGUCGACCCCAUAUCGCGCCAACACGACGCUCGGGUGUGGUAAGCACCCGCAAAAAAAAACUCCAUCCGAAAAAACAGGCCGUAUCAAGGAUCGCUCAAACUAAAAACAACGAGCCAGAUUGUGUCGCCCCUUUCAUACUUCACGCAUUUCAGAGAACUGUUCCAGGAACCCUUUCAUCCCUCACACAAAACAAAAUAGUAGUGAAAACAGACUUUGCUGUUCACCACGUUCCAUACAUAAAGUCGUGAUUGAAUAUUUUUACCACAAUAUUCAACACUUCAAACGAAACAACCGAAGAGUGACACGAUACGGCGUAAGCGAGGGCGUUAACUUUGGCGGCAAGGUGAAAGCAAAAGAAAACCCGGACCUUGCGUCCAAAGAAAACCUCCACCUCAAACUUACCCAAUAACAAUCUUUAAAUCCUUGAAUACGCCACAAAACCAAAUCCAAGUUUUCACAAAACCAAGCUAAAACAAGCGCCCUUAAAUGAAUCCGCACGUUGCGAGACAUUUAAAUUUAAAACUGGCGCUAAAACCACGUCGUAACUUUAAAUAAAUCUAAACAUAAAACCGAGCGUUUAUUUAACCGCUCAAGUUACGACAAACUUGGAUCAAAAAACACGCAUCCGAACGUACCCCUCGUUGAACUUAUCUUGUCUGUGGUCUGUGCCUUAAAAAAAACUAAAUGUCAACAAAUAUUUAUCGUUACCUACAAAAUUACUAAUAUCUUCCGUUUUUAUUGUGCUACAAAUUAAUAAAACAACACUUAAUUCAACUACAAAAUCAUGGAAGACUAACAUGAGUGUGAUAAACGUUCGAUAAUCUAAAGGAAUGACUAAAAUUUAUUCAGAAAUGCUAACUGGAAUGCAAAUAAUUCUACUACUAACAGCAGAUUACUAGAAACUGUACUAAAUCUUAAGAACCAUAUACCACAAAAGUUACUUGGCAGCAACAGCUUCAACUAGACCACAGACUACAGGAAAUGUCUACAAAAGAAAACCAAAAUAUGAACAUCAGAGGAACAUGGGCACUGAUAAUGUGUUGAAAAGCAUAACUCCUAACGGAAACCUUCCAUUUGCAUGGAGAACAACAUAAACCACUUCGCCGGCAACCAACAACAAUGCAGCUGCCGGACACACAAAACUCAAGCCGUUCCUGCACUUCCAACCAUUACCGGUGUCGUCCCCGACUGAAUUCACCUGUAUAAGUUCAACGGGCACAAAAGUGAAAUUGCCACUGUAUAAUAAGUUUAACUCAAAAGAAACUCAAAUAUGAUGGCACCGACUUACAACUUGAAGUGAUACUGUUGUGUUAUAAUUUAUAAUAAACAAUGUUGAAUU
rnacentral:lncRNA from 1 species